ensembl:lncRNA
AUGGCCCGCGGCGGGCUGGGUGCACCUGCGGGCCCCCGGCUCCCUCCCCCUCGCGCUGGGGGCGGGGCGCGCCCUCACUUCCCAGCCCAGCCCACCCCGCGCGGGAAGGAGGCGGGAGGAGAGGCGUUUCUGGAGAAGUUGAAGGGCUCACCUUCUGGGCAGCGGGCCAACGAGGCCAGACACCGAACACCCACCUCCGGGAAGAAUCAGCGGAGCCGUAACCGGGUCUCCCCGCCCUUCCGAUGGGGCGGAGGGAGGCGAGAGAAGGGAGCGCGCGUGGCGGGGAGCCGGAGAGAGGCGGUCGCAGGCCGGCACGGUCCUCUCACGGGGCCCACUCCGCGGCCCCGGCGCCCGCCGCUCAAAUUGCCGAAAGCUGAAGGAUCUUCGGGGACGAAGCUAGCGCUCGGCCCGGCCCGCUUGCCGCCCGCGUCCCCCAGCCCGCGAGGUCCCAGCCACAGCCUCCGCUCGGGCCGCGGCGCCGCGGGGCAGGUCGCCGGCGCCGGGGUGGCGCGUGUCGGCUGCGGCGCGGCUCCACCGGCACCGUCCCCGGCCCCUGCCCGGGAGAGGCGCGCACCAACCUUGGGGGGGCAGCCUGGGCAGCUUUGGCCGCCUAGCCCUGGCUUAGGCGGAGGCGAGAGGUGGCGGCAUCACCUGCGGCGUGCGGCUACUGCUGCUCCCGGACGCGCCGGGGCGGCGGAGGCGCGCGGCGCCCUGCACCCUGCUCCCGCGGCCCCGCCCGCGGCUGCCACUUCGAAGCGCGGCGGAGGAGCCGGGGCACCACGGGCGGCGGCAGCGGCGGCGACGGGAGCAGCAGCACAUGACUCUGUAACGGGGGGAAUUAGACAAAGCGUAACAUGGACUCCGGGCCCGUGCAGGCGCUGCAGCUUCGGGACCAACCGCAGCCGGCGAGCGCCGCCACUGGCUCGGCCGCAGCCAAUGGGGGCGGGCCCGGGCCUCCAUGUGAUGGCGAGCUCUCUUCCCCCGCGGCUCUCCGGUGCCUGCCGGGGGUCGGGGCGCUUCCGCCGCCGUGCGGGCUGA